CAGCAGCCGCGGUAAUACCGAGGGUGCGAGCGUUAAUCGGAUUUACUGGGCGUAAAGCGUGCGUAGGCGGCUUCUUAAGUCGGAUGUGAAAUCCCUGAGCUUAACUUAGGAAUUGCAUUCGAUACUGGGAAGCUAGAGUAUGGGAGAGGAUGGUAGAAUUCCAGGUGUAGCGGUGAAAUGCGUAGAGAUCUGGAGGAAUACCGAUUGCGAAGGCAGCCAUCUGGCCUAAUACUGACGCUGAGGUACGAAAGCAUGGGGAGCAAACAGGAUUAGAUACCCGUGUAGUCCCUGUCUCUUAUAA
rnacentral:rRNA from 1 species